ACCCAUAGUACCCCAUUCCUUGCUGCAAUGUAAUUACAAGUGUGCUCCUGGUGGUCUUUAACUGAAGGGCACUGACUGGGUACUGGUGAAGUUCCCCGCAGGAACUGAGUCAGACCCCAUCUCAGGGCCCUGCAGAAGAUAGGUGCCUGCUCUAAGGCGUGGACCCUCGCGACAGCCCUGGCCCGUCUUGACGGGCGAGGGUUACUGUACUUGUCCCAAUCGUACAGAUGAGAAAGCUCAGACUCAGGGCCAGCAACCCCGGUCCCAGCGGAGCGCCCGGCACGCGCCGACACUUCAGCACCAGUCGCGGUGGCCACCACUGUGCGCGGAGAUGGCUGCGACGCGUGCGCAGAUCUCGAUCCCAAACUCCCUCCUGCCAGAAUCUGGACCCGAAUCCACCCAUUGCCCAUUUUCCGCUGCCGCUGGAGAGAAUCUCUGAGGUCCCCAGGACAGCCUGCCUGCACGGAAGAGAUGCCUCCUCAGUAUGGCCGCCCCCGGAGAGGAGCGAUUAAGUGCAGACCCCCAUGUUGCUCUUGAGCCUGAGCGGCUUCAGGGAGCCAUGUUUGUUACUGGCGGGCGCCGGCCUCACUGAGCAUGUGCAGCCCUGGCCGGGCGGCCUCAAAGUUCUGACAUCACAGGGCGGUUCCUGAAGUGGACGUAGUUGUAAGAGCUAGUUAUUUUAGACAAUGCCUCUGGGAUCAGGGACUCUAAUCUGGAAAUAGGUAGUGGGAGAGGUCGGUGAUGCUGUCUCGGGGUCAGAGACCUGAGCUAUAUGGGGUUAGAGAGGGGCCCUGGGCAGGCGAGUCUCUGGGGAGUGUGGUGAGAAUCCUUGUGUAAGAUGCUGGGAGGAGGUGGGGUCAGGGCUGGGGUCCGUGGGCCGACGGGUUGGGGGAUGGCCAGCGUCAGGGAUCAGUAGUAGAGAUUCUAUGUGCCCUGAUCGCCAGUAGAGGUUUUAAAUACAGAGUAUUCAUGAGUUUAGCAAUGUUAUUCGCCUCUCAUAAUUUAAAUAAUUUGAAGUUUUCCCCCAGUAACUAGUGUCUUAGAAGUCAUGAAAAUUUCAGAAAAUGACAGGUCUUCUGAGUUCGUGAUGGGAGUUGGGCAGCAGUCGCAUACGAGCACCUGGAGAGUCCUUGCCAGUUCUUUGGGGAUGGGGAGCUCUUAAGACUGCCCUGAGACCGCCCUUUGACCUCAUUAUGGUCCUUUCUAGAUUAAAUGCUGUUUUCCAUGACCGUCUCUGUUCUUCCCAUACGCGAAUGGCAGGCAUCCAGAUCUCCAAGAAUAGAGGAUUAGGAGAGACUCCACCACCUAUGUCCUCACAGUUAAUUAUCGAUUUGUGUCACUUGCCCAUUUUCUCACUUCCUGUUUGUGUGUCAAGGAGUAUUAAUAAAUCUUUGCCUAUUUAAAGAUACUAGCCUUGGAUUUUCAAAUAUUGCAUAUUUUGACAUGUAAAAAUGUGUUAGUUUUAUUUUUUCAACCGAUCUGACCUGUAUAGUUGGGCUUGAGGAAGCUUCCUCAUUGUACAUGUUACUAUGGAUUUUCUAAUAUUAACACAGGGUUGUAUUUUUUCCAUAUAACUUUCUAUUGAAUUUCUUUUUCCAUAUGAUAGGUGGUGAAGGUUUAGCCCAGUAAAGCAGAGAGGUUAAGAGGUUAGACUGGGGGCUCUGGAGCCAGACCUAUGUAGAUCUGAGUCCUGGCUCUGGCACUUGAAAGCCGUGUGACCUUGGUUAAGAUACUUAGCCCCUCUCUGCCAAAUGGAGAAAUAAGGGCACCUACCCCGUAGGGUAGUUGUGUGAGUACACAAGUUAAUACACUUCAAUCACUAGCAAGAAAGUGAAUGUCAAGCUGUAUUUGUUCAGGCAGCCAUAUGGUAGCCCCACCUCAUUAGUAAACUGAGGUAUUGAAGUAUCUUCUUUUUCUUUCAGAAAAUAUUUGUCAAGCACCUUCUGUGUUCUAAGAACUGUUCUAGAGCUUUGCAUGCUAUGGAGGUCUAGAAAUUCACAUUAUGGUGGCAGGUGACAGACAAUACAAAGAGGUAAAGCAAUUUCAUAUAGUGAUAACCUAGGGAGGCGUGCUAAAAGGAGCCAAGGUGUAGUGGUGACUGGAAGGUGACCAGGGAAACCACUGUAGGGUUUCUAACUGAUGAGAUCUGUGACAAAUCCCUGUGGUCAGCAGCAGGCAUUGGAUAUGUAACUUUAUUCUGUCCCAUUGAUCUUGUAGUCAACCCUGGUCUGUUCUGUAUUGUUUUAAUUACAUAAUCUUUGUAAUAAUCUUUAAUACCUGGUGGAGUGCUCUGUUUACUUAUUUCUGCAUAAUUAACCACCCCUAAGCUUAACUUACUCAUGGUUCUGCAGGAUGACUGCUCUCCAUGGUUCUAGGGGUUUCUGCAUGGGGCCUCUCACAUGUGCUACAGUCAAACAUUAGCCGGGGCCACAGUCAUCUGAAACUCACUUACACGGCUGACAAUUGAUGUUGGCUGUUGCCUGGAGAAGACAUAUGUGGCCUGGUGGAAUGGAAUGGUGACUAGAUUCAAGAAAGAGCUUCCCAGGAGCAAGGCUACCAAGAGACCGAAGUAGAGGCUUCAGUUUCUUUAAAAAAAAAAAAAAAAAUCGGGCCAGGUGCGAUGGCUCACGCAUGUAAUCCCAGCACUUUGGGAGGCCAAGGCAGGCAGAUCACAAGGUCAUGAGAUCGAGACCAUCCUGGCCAACAUAGUGAAACCCGUCUCCAAUAAAAAAAAAAAAUACAAAAAUUAGCUGGGCAUGGUGGUGUGUGACGGUAGUCCCAACUACUUGGGAGGCUGAGACAGGAGAAUUUCUAGAACCUGGGAGGCGGGGGUUGCAGUGAGCUGAGAUUGCACCACUGCACUCAAGACUGGCAAUAGAGGGAGACUCCAUCUCAAAAAAAAAAAAAAAUCCAAUAGUAGAAUUCCCAGAAUGGAAUUUAUGUCAUAUUCUAUGGAUUGAGCAAGUUGCAAGGCAGCCACAUUCUAGGGGAAGGGAGCUAUUCCUCACCUCUUGAGAAGCAAUGUGUGUUGAGGAAGGGAAAGAAUUGAUGGUAGCUGUCUUUGACUUCUACCAUACAGAGCAAGGUCUCCACACUCCUUUCUCCUGUAAUAAUUUUCCAUUUGAAAAUUUUCCUUGCAGUUCUCACACCUUUAUUAUUUCAUAUAAAUUUUACAAUCAAUUUUUUUCUUGUCUAGAUAACCAUGCCAUUUGGAUUAAAAUUGCAUUACAUUGCAACUUUUGAGAAACUAUGGGAGGAGAAUUGGCAACCUUAUAAUAUUGAAUUUGCUCAUUAAGGAACAUAGUUUCUCUGUUUAUUUAGGUGUUAUAUUUUUCAUAAUAUACAUGUUGGUAUUUCUACCCAGGCUUUUCUCUUUGUUUUGUCAUGUAAUGCAUGAAUGAGACUGCACUGUCUGUGUGAUUGGGCAGUUGCCCAAAGUUUAAGGUGUUAACAUGCAUUAAUUCACUUAAUCACUUCUCAUUUCCUCCUUCCCUCAACCCCUGACAACCAUGAAUCUGCUUUCUGUCUCUAGAUUUGCCUAUUCUGGACAUUUUAUAUAAAUGUGUCAUCCAAUAUCUGGUCUUUUCUGACUGGCUUCUUUCACUUAGCAGGAUUCUACGGUUUAUUGAGGUUCAUUCAUUGUGUAGGCUGUAUCAGUACUUCAUUCCUGUUUACGGCUGAAUAAUGUUCCACUGUAUGUACAUAUGUAUGUAUACCACACUUUGUAUAUCCAUUUAUUUACUGGAGGAUAUCUGGGUUAUUUACAGUAUAUUUCAGGAGUCCCCAAGAUCAUCCUCCCCCUUGGUAUACUGCUCUUUGUAUCUUAUAUGACCUGUGCAGAACUAUUUAUCUGGAAAUUAGGUGAUGGUUAACUAAAUAUAGUUCUUCUAAAGAUUCAUUUUCCGUUGGUAUUACAUCCUGAGGAGACCUUAACUCAAUCUCCCAAUACAUUUGAUCAUCAAUAUCACUAUUACCACAUGACUUAUUUACAUGAGGUACUCAAAUCUAACCAGCCAUGCCAGUGUUACCCAUAUUGCAUGUUGUGGUAGUAGAUGCAGCCCCCUGAAAUAAAAGUCAAAAGAUGCUGGCACAUUCCUGAGGUUCUUCUCAGCCACUAACAAUUGGUGUAGUUCAUCAUCACCUGGAAUGACCAAAAUGUCUCCC
rnacentral:lncRNA from 1 species